UUAUGAUUUUGUGAAAAUAUUAAAUUCACUGUGUUUAAAUUAAUUGCCCUAGUUUUUAUUAAUAAUUAAAAGCCAUUAAGAAGCAGUCAUAUAAAGAAUGUCACAGGGUUAUUUUAAAAACUAAAAACUUCCUCAAAUGAGAGAGAAGACAGAAUUUCAUGAAUAUAAUCCUUUUGUGAGUGGCCCAUACUUCUCUACAUGCAUGCUUUGAUGACCUGACCUCUAGUGUGACUGAAACUUUUGUGUUUCUGUGUAAAAAUUAAUAAAUGUUCAUUUUGUGUAUAACACAUUAUAAUGAGUAUUAACAUUAUUAUUAUAUUAGACUACUACAGUACACAACAUGAUAUGACACUUGACUGUGUAGUGUUAGUGUCUUUAUUAUCCUGUCUUCUUUUUAUAGGAUAGAUGGACUCCUCUCAUAAUAGCAGCUAAAUAUGGUUACACACAGGUAGUGACAAUGCUCCUUGAAAAAGGAGCAGAUGUCACUGCCUCUGAUAAUAAUGGUAGGACUGCUCUUGAUUGUGCUGAAGAACACCGUCAUUCUGAUACUGCUACCCUACUGAGAGUACACUCAGGUAAUGUAUU